CACACAUGCCAGUAACCCUCUCCUGUCCCUCCAGAAAGUGAGGUUUUUGGGUGGGCAGUAAGUUUUAGGGCCACCAUUGAAACCCUAGCCCCAUUGAAACCCCCUUGGGCCUGGGUUUGAGAAUAGGACCUUGGAAGAUUAAUCAACCUACUGCAUCUGGAUGAGUUCAAGUGUUUGGGCCCUGGUUGGGCAGAGUUUGUGGGCCCAGCCCCAGGAAAGAGUUAUCCCCACAACCAGCCUGAGUCUGGCUCCAGAUUAGGAGGCAUGUGGUCACACCUCUGCCUUUGUCUCACUAGCUCAACUCUACCUUAUCCUUCAACACUUCCCUCCCCUCUCUUAUCACACUAUCACAGACCCCUAAUCAACUUCUAAACCCAUUUUGGGCCCAGAGCCAAGGUCACUAUUCUCCCUAGACCUAGUGCCCCCCCCAGUCCCACAGAUCCUAAAAUCCUGCCUUCAUUCCCCUCCUGAAAGGACCCCGAUUCCUCCUUAAUGCCCAGUAUCCUGAGGACCACCCCUGAAUUUCUGUCCUCACAUCCCACUGAGAAAUGCCAUGACCUGCGUUCAGAUCCUGCCUCUGACAUAAUAGCCUUGUGACCUUGAGCAAAUCUAUGGACCUCAGUAUUGUAAAGCACAGGAAUUGAACUAGAUAACCCCUAAGGUCCUUUCCAAUUCUGAGUUUAAGAUCCCAAGGUCUUUGUGGCCCAGUACCUCUAUGUUACCUGACUAUGACAGCAGGGCUAAGUAUCUGAGAUCUGACAAAGGUAUCACCUUUGCUAAAGAUCCCAGAAGGGGAAGACAGCUUUUGUCUUCUCUCUCCAUCAGCCCAGUCCAGGGACUGCUUCUCACCUACUUCAGAAUAGUCUGAAAGAAUCUGACAGGUCUGAGGAAUGACAGGGUUUUUUUGGGGGGGAGAAGUUAAUUAAACACCUGCAAAUAUAUCUAAACCCAAAAAUAUUUAUAGCAGCAAUAUUUGUGUGUCACAGCAAAGAAAUGGUAACAAAGUAGAUACCCAUUGUUUAGGGAGUAGUUAAAUAAAUUGUAGUGUAUGAAUAUAAUGAAAUAAUAUUCAGCUGCAAGAAAUAAGGUGUGCAAUGAAUACAGAGACACAUGGGAAGAUCUACAUGAACAUAAUGCAGGAUGAAGAAAACAGAACCAAGAAGAUAAUAUGUACUCUAAAUACAAGAAUAAAAUAUGAAGAACCACAAGAGAAUAAUUUAUGCACUACUAUCAGAGGGGCUUUAUGAGGAAAGCACAUUGUAUAGUCUAGAGCAUUCUAGAAAUAUAAGCUGUUCUUAUUUCUAGUUCACUGGUAUUCAUUUUCUGUUCUCUGGUGUUUCCUCAGUUCAAGUUGUUCGUUUUUUUUCUUAUUUCAAUACUUUAAAGGUCGAUCAUUUCAGUUGAGUGAAGUCAAUAUAGGCAGCCAUUCAUUCAUUUAGCAGAUUCAUAUGCACUGCUUUAUGCUGGGGUAUGGAAUCUAGAAUGUCCUAUUUCUCUAAUCCAGAGGCAUAACUGGGGAUGUUUUCACCUGGGACAAAAAUAGCCUUUCUCUGUCUCUGUCUCUGUCUCUCUCUGUCUUUAUGUCUCUGUCUCUCCUCUCUCUCUCUCCUCUUUUCUCUCUCUUUUUUCUUUCCCUCUCUCUUUCUCUCUCCUUCUCUCCUCUUCUUUCCCUCUCUCCCUCCCUCUUCUUCCCUCUCUUUCUGUCUCUCUCUCCUUUCUCCCUCCCUCCAUCACUCUCUUUUCUUCUUCUCUUUCUUUCUCUCUCUCCUCCUCUCCUCUCUUCUCUUUCCC
ensembl:lncRNA